UGUUUGUUACAUGCUCUUCACACCCUCACAGAGAAAUGAGAAUAGUACUCUGCUGUAAUCAGUGUAGCUGAUAAAUUUUCUUAAAACAUUGAUUUAGCUACCUCUUGAAAAAUUAAUGAGUGGCACUUAACACAUCAUUUUGUGGAAGGAUUUAAUUAUGGUCUUAAGAUACGUACUAGUCAGGUCAUGGGUGUACGUGUACCUUGGAUGAGUCAACUCGAACUAGGUGAGAUCCAACCCAGUUUGACACCUCGAGUGAUCCCCCCAUUCAUACUAGAGUGAUUCGUGACUUUGACUGAGGACCGAAUGAGUUGAUCUGAAUCAACGAGUCUUUUAACCAUGGUAGAGAUCUUCUCUAUUCUUUUGGUUUCUCAUGUCCUGCUUUUUUCUUAUUAGAUGAUUUUGCAAACGAACAGGCAUCUCCUUCAGCAGGCGCGAUGGAGGAGGAACGAGAGGCCCCAGCAGACCUAGAAGAAUCAGACAGGAGAAAAUGAAUUCUUCCAACAGAGGAGCUGUAGGAGAUUCGGAUGAUGAACCGCUUAGCAUGUGGAAGGUACGAGGAGCAAAAGUAGCCUAGAGCUUGGACACUAGCCUUCUCUUUGAAAACUCAAAUGUUGGUUUUGGCUUUGUUGCCAUUGUCCCAACCAUGGUCUGUCGAUCUGAGCUGCUGAAGGAAGACGGACGUUUUGGUACCUACAAUAGAUGCUGCUAAUAAACUAUAGUAACACAGAUGCUGUGAUAAGGGCCAUGUAUAUGUAAUUUUCACGGUUAUUGUAUGUAGGAUGCGUUUGUAGCCAUCUUAUGUAGAGUAGUUUAACCACUCAUCUUGGAUAGGUCAUAGCCAAAAAAUUACACAUCCAACAAUCCUAACCAUCUGAUUUGUUCCUUCAAAUGGACUGUUGAAAGGAAUCAUCUUGUGUGCGACUUCCGACUGUUCAAUUGGUAUGUUAACCCCUUGGAUGUUGCUUCCCCUGGA